ACGAGACGUCUCCUAAAAGAGACAAGUACUCUAAGCCCAUUUAAAUGAAUUGAAAGCACCAGCAAACUUUGAAAACUAACGCCACUUGACAGCGACCAGUCGGAAUGAAACCUCAAAAACUAAUUAGCACAAGUCAAAGGCAACCCGAAAACAUUUCCAUUCGAACGUGUGUCCUAGCAUCUUCGGUAAUAUUUGACCGCAUCUGGAUGGAGCUUCGCAGAGCAACAACAGGGCCGACAAAAUAAAACUGGGUUUUGGGGAGGGGAAAUGCAUAAAAUUUCAAUUUUCUGAACCAUAAACAAGGCAAGGAUCAGGCAGCCGAGGGAAAAUCAAAUCAAACCCAGAGGCAAAAUUUAAUUGCGUUUAACCUGAAAUCAAAUUUCCAAGACGAUGCUGACCAGGCCUAGAUUCAAUCAAUCCACAGGACAUUCUAACUCGAGGCGAAAGGGCCUAGCAACAAAUCAGAAGGGUUCAUGUUUAUCAAAAUACUCAUGCAGUGAGAGAAACAGAAGUGGUAGUUAUCUUCAUACUUUUUAGGAUCAUAAGUUAACGUAAAUUAAUCAACUUAUGUAUAUUUAUCUGCAGACUAUUCCAGGUUAAAUAUAUAUUAGCCUUGUAUAACAAA